rnacentral:rRNA from 1 species
GACGAACGCUGGCGGCGUGCUUAACACAUGCAAGUGGAGCGACGAACCAGGCUUCGGCCUGGGGCAAAGCCGCGAACGGGUGAGUAACACGUGGGUAACCUGCCCCGAUGAUCGGGACAACCCGGGAAACCGUACGGGCGUAAUACCGAACUGUGCUCGCACCACAUCAGUGGUGCGCGUAAGGUAGCUUCGGCCUCCGCAUCGGGAGUGGGCCCGGCCGGCCCGACUUAG